UACGUAGGGUGCGAGCGUUAAUCGGAAUUACUGGGCGUAAAGCGUGCGCAGGCGGUUUUGUAAGACAGAUGUGAAAUCCCCGGGCUCAACCUGGGAAUUGCAUCUGUGACUGCAUCGCUAGAGUACGGUAGAGGGGGAUGGAAUUCCGCGUGUAGCAGUGAAAUGCGUAGAUAUGCGGAGGAACACCGAUGGCGAAGGCAAUCCCCUGGACCUGUACUGACGCUCAUGCACGAAAGCGUGGGGAGCAAACAGG
rnacentral:rRNA from 1 species